rnacentral:rRNA from 1 species
AACGCAUUAAGCACUCCGCCUGGGGAGUACGACCGCAAGGUUGAAACUCAAAGGAAUUGACGGGGGCCCGCACAAGCGGUGGAGCAUGUGGUUUAAUUCGAAGCAACGCGAAGAACCUUACCAGGUCUUGACAUCCUUUGACCACUCUAGAGAUAGAGCUUUCCCUUCGGGGACAAAGUGACAGGUGGUGCAUGGUUGUCGUCAGCUCGUGUCGUGAGAUGUUGGGUUAAGUCCCGCAACGAGCGCAACCCUUAUUGUUAGUUGCCAUCAUUUAGUUGGGCACUCUAGCGAGACUGCCGGUGACAAACCGGAGGAAGGUGGGGAUGACGUCAAAUCAUCAUGCCCCUUAUGACCUGGGCUACACACGUGCUACAAUGGGAAGUACAACGAGUCGCUAGACCGCGAGGUCAUGCAAAUCUCUUAAAGCUUCUCUCAGUUCGGAUUGCAGGCUGCAACUCGCCUGCAUGAAGCCGGAAUCGCUAGUAAUCGCGGAUCAGCACGCCGCGGUGAAUACGUUCCCGGGCCUUGUACACACCGCCCGUCACACCACGAGAGUUUGUAACACCCGAAGUCGGUGAGGUAACCUUUUUGGAGCCAGCCGCCUAAGGUGGGAUAGAUGAUUGGGGUGAAGUCGUAACAAGGUAGCCGUAUCGGAAGGUGCGGCUGGAUCACCUCCUUU